rnacentral:ncRNA from 2 species
AGCAACCGUGCGGGAGAGACCAGUUUCCUCUGAUGGGUUUGAGGACUGGCGCCGAAGGAGCAACCGCCCCGGAAACUCUCAGGCAAAAGGACCGCACGGGCCAU